GUGAAAUCAAGCUGUCUGUCACAGCCGCCGUGGCCGACUGCAUUAUGGAUGCUGUGCUGGAAGAUCUGACUGCUGCCCAGUGCAAACUGGUGGAGAGCUUCCCCAAGCAGGGGCUCAACCUUCCGGCACUGCUGCCAGAGCUGGCUGAGGACGAUGCCGUGGCACUGGUGAGGGGCAGGAAUCCUCCUGACCCUGCUGCAGAGGAGUACAAGAUGGCCCUGCGGAGGAAAACCAAGCAUUUCAGGAGCAUCCGGCCCACGCCAAGUGUGAG
rnacentral:lncRNA from 1 species